UACGGGGGGGGUAAGCGUUGUUCGGAAUUACUGGGCGUAAAGGGCUCGUAGGCGGCCAACUAAGUCAGACGUGAAAUCCCUCAGCUUAACUGGGGAACUGCGUCUGAUACUGGAUGGCUUGGAUCCGGGAGAGGGAUGCGGAAUUCCAGGUGUAGCGGUGAAAUUCGUAGAUAUUGGGAAGAACACCGGUGGCGAAGGCGGCUCUCUGGACCGAUACUGACGCUGAGGCGCGAAAGCGUGGGGAGCAAACAGG
rnacentral:rRNA from 1 species